rnacentral:lncRNA from 1 species
AUGACGAACACAAAGGAAAAGAGGAGAGGCACCCAAUGUAUGUUCUCUAAGCCUUUUAGAAAACAUGGAGUUGUUCCUUUGGCCACGUAUAUGUGAAUCUAUAAGAAAGGUGACAUUGCAGGCAUCAAGGGAAUGGGUACUGUUCAAAAAGGAACACCCCCAAGUGUUACCAUGGCUAAAUGGGAAGAGUCUGCAGUGUUCCCCAGCAUGCCGUUGGCAUUGUUGUAAACAAACAAGUUAAGGGCAAGAUUCUUGCCAAGAGAAUUAAUGUGUGUAUUGAGCACAUUAAGCACUCUAAGAGCCGAGCUAGCUUCCUGAAACGCUUGAAGAAAAACGAUCAGAAAAAGAAAGAAGACAAAGAGAAAGGUGCCUGGGUUCAACUGAAGCGCCAGCCUGCUCCACCCAGAGUAGCACACUUUAUGAGAGCCAGUGGGAAGGAGGCUGAGCUGCUGGAACCUCUUCCCUACGAAUUCAUGGCA